GAAAAAAAAAGGAAGGUCUUCUUCUUCGUGAAAGCGCCCUAAUAGCCCCCCUUCUCUAAAUUUCUCUUGCCAACCUUCCGAUCACACCGUAAUCUCUCUCUGUCUCUCCAUCGCUAAUGUAGACAACUACUGCAACUAAGCGCCGACCACCCAAACGCAUCGCCACCCGCUCUCAUCGCCCGGGAUCGAGUUGCUUGCCGAUUUGCGUGUCUUCUAUGCUGCAUUCACAACCAAAAUCAACAGUUGGGACCCUUACAUAUAUUGCUCCUGAGGUGUUGCUUAAGAAAGAGUAUGGUGGCAAGGUGAAAAAUUCGACAAAGCAAAAAAUGCAGGAGCAGAUUUGGUUGGAGGUGAGGAUUUGAUAGAACAGAUCAAAGAGGUUUCAAGGAGUUUGAUAAGUUGAUUGUUUCACUAGAUAUGAUGUCCAAGCUAAUUUUAGAACUUGGUUCCUAUAUUGAAGAGUUGAGCAAAACACAGGUGCUAUAAAGGAAUUUGUCAAUCCCAAAUUUUGCUAGAAUCCAUUGGAGCAAUGAAGUCACAUUUGCACAAUUGAUUGAUUUAUAGGUCUUUUUGUAGGUUUGGUAGCAAAAUUUUGGUUGAAAUGUACUUAUUUAAAUAGCUUGUUGGUAUCAAAAC